UAAAACCAGCACCUCAAGUGGUCAGGAUGAUUAUUGGGCCUAAAGCAUCCGUAGCCGGCUCUGUAAGUUUUCGGUUAAAUCUGUACGCUCAACGUACAGGCUGCCGGGAAUACUGCAGAACUAGGGAGUGGGAGAGGUAGACGGUACUCGGUAGGAAGUGGUAAAACGCUUUGAUCUAUCGAUGACCACCUGUGGCGAAGGCGGUCUACCAGAACACGUCCGACGGUGAGGGAUGAAAGCUGGGGGAGCAAACCGGAUUAGAUACCCGGGUAGUCCCAGCUGUAAACUAUGCAAACUCAGUGAUGCAUUGGCUUGUGGCCAAUGCAGUGCUGCAGGGAAGCCGUUAAGUUUGCCGCCUGGGAAGUACGUACGCAAGUAUG
rnacentral:rRNA from 1 species